rnacentral:lncRNA from 1 species
UUUGCAAGAUUUUUUUUAAUAUUUGAUGAGAUACACAUGGCACGAUGUAUGUCGCUCCCUACUUGCUCCAUUAGUCGCGUUAUCAUUUAAUAGUAGAAAUAGAUAUAAUUUAUAAUGAAAGAUCAAUUUACUCUUUAAUCUAAUAUUUUUGUCUUUUUUUUUUGAAUAGAGGCUGUAGAAGCCCAAAUUUGCUGGGUCCAUUGUCCAAAUAAAAUAAAAUACAACAAACCCAAAAUUCAAUCCCAACUACCCAAACCUUAAGCCCAAAAUAAUCAGCCCACAAACUUCUAAUUUCAGCAGCAAACCCUAGCUGGCCGCCGCAUGCCUUACGUGGCCUCCUCGUCUACCACGCCUCCAGCCCACGCCUCCACUCGCACGCCUCUGCCACCACUGUCGGCCACGGGCACCUGCAAAGCCAACAAGUAGACGCAACAACAAAGAAAAAAUAAUGUAAAAAAAACAAAAUAGAGAUAAAAGCAUUGGUAAUCGGGUUAUAAAAACCCCAAGCACUGCUCAUGUAUUGGGCUUCGUUUUUUUUACGAACGCACAUCAAGAAAUCAAAAAUAGAACGGAGUUUUCAAAGGUUGAAUCUGAUUAUUUUCCUUUCGAUUUACUGUUUUCCUUGCGUUUUUUUUCUUUUUUAUUUCUCUUAUUCAUUUCUUUUGCAAGUCGGUUUUAACAAAAAUUAAUAAUAAAAAGCAAAAUAGAAGUACCUGAAACCGCCGCGUGGCUUCGUCGACGGAGGUCCCUUCGUCGUUGUCGGGGCCGGGCUAAGAGGUGGUUAGAUUUCUCCUCUUUCUAUUUUGGCUUCUCCUCACUGGUGUCAUCCACCGAACUUAAAAGCGGGGUUAAAAGCCUCGUCUUUCGCCAUUGCCCGUCGACUAUUACGGCGGCGCGAUCGGAGAAGUGGGGAAGAGGGACGGCGGCGGGGUUCCAAGGCUAGGCCUGGAACCCUAGCAGAGAAAGGGGACUUCCCUUUUAAUUUUUUAUUUUUUAUUUUUUGCGUUCUUUGUAGAGAAUGAAACAGCAGAAAAAUAAAGCAAAUUUUUUAGCUUUUAUUGAGAUUGCAAUACGAC